AUGCAAGUCGAGCGCGAAAACACUUCGGUGUGAGUAGAGCGGCGGACGGGUGAGUAAUGCUUGGGAAUCUGCCCAAUAGUGGGGGAUAACGUGUGGAAACGCACGCUAAUACCGCAUACGUCCUACGGGAGAAAGCAGGGGAUCUUCGGACCUUGCGCUAUUGGAUGAGCCCAAGUCAGAUUAGCUAGUUGGUGGGGUAAUGGCUCACCAAGGCGACGAUCUGUAGCUGGUCUGAGAGGAUGAUCAGCCACACUGGGACUGAGACACGGCCCAGACUCCUACGGGAGGCAGCAGUGGGGAAUAUUGCACAAUGGGCGAAAGCCUGAUGCAGCCAUGCCGCGUGUGUGAAGAAGGCUCUAGGGUUGUAAAGCACUUUCAGUGGGGAGGAAAAGCUCAAAAUUAAUACUUUUGAGCCUUGACGUUACCUGCAGAAGAAGCACCGGCAAACUCCGUGCCAGCAGCCGCGGUAAUACGGAGGGUGCGAGCGUUAAUCGGAAUUACUGGGCGUAAAGCGCGCGUAGGUGGUUUGAUAAGCUAGCUGUGAAAGCCCUGGGCUCAACCUGGGAACUGCAGUUAGAACUGUCUGGCUAGAGUAUAGUAGAGGGUGGCGGAAUUUCCUGUGUAGCGGUGAAAUGCGUAGAUAUAGGAAG
rnacentral:rRNA from 1 species